rnacentral:snoRNA from 1 species
UCCCGGGUUGAUAACUGGAUGGUUUGUCGGUUUAUUCUCUUCUUCAAAAGAUUAUGAAUUUUUAUCAAGUCCCUUACUGUCUUUUAAUUAUCCGGAAUAUUUAAAUCCAUGUGGAAUUGCUUCUUACACGCUAAUACAUUGCAACUGUAUGCUUUAACGUUUACUAUUCCUCAACAUUC